rnacentral:lncRNA from 1 species
AUACUCUGCCGUUUUUCUUGAUACAUAAACCAAACGUCGACAUACCACAUACAAUUAUAAGGCGUCAUCAACGCUGUCAUUGUCGACGUCAAAGCACGUUUCAAGCGCUGAUUUUGUGCUCUAAUAGUGUCUUAUUUCAGUUUCGCAGCAGGCGAAAAGUUUUGCCAGAUGUCCCGACCAAAUUGCAUCGAUCGCAAUCGGCGGUAGCUAUUCUCAAUCUGGCGGAGCAUCGUUUUGUCAGUAAGAUUGAAAUCUGAUCGUUAUUUGAUUGCAGUUCAACAGCAUCACAGGUAAAUUUUUAGUGUUUUGUAUAUGGUGGAUAAAUAUAGAAAUCAAGCAUAAAUUUUUGAAACGACGUAUGUAACAAUUGAGAGGAAACGAGAAAAAUGUGAUACAUUAUAUCGUGAAUAAUUUUCAUUCCUAUAUUUUAUUUGAACUGUUUUGCAUUUUUUCUAUAGCUGUGUCUAAGUUGAAAAUAACAACAGUUUUUUUAUAACCACCAUAAAACAAUGCUGAUUUGUGACCAUAUUGAAAUUGAUACUCCUUUUUGCUUUGGGCUUGUUACAUACACCAUAAAGGUUCGUCGAUAUGAUACCUUGAAUCUUACAUACACCUUGCUUGAUACGUCGGUUCAACAGUUCGUUUGGCACUUGCGUCACAUCAAAUACAUCGGUAUUUGUUUUGAAGUUCCACAUACGUCGGUUUUUCGUAUGUUUCCGAUUUCAACUCGACUAACAGGUGCAACGAACGAAGCCGUAACAAAAAAUUGAAUAAGAACUACCAUUUUUCUGGAAACAUUGCCUAAACCCAAAUACUGAUGAUGUCCCUUCAUCACUUUGGCGAUUCGUCACUGUGGGAAUCAGAUUCACCUCUCUAUUUCUAACAUGUCCAGUGAUCCAAAACAGUAUGACGUAUCUGCUGAUGAAAAUGUAUGUUUUGAUUCCGCACAUAGGUCGUUUUACUACAAACGUAUGGACGGUGUAUGUACUAACCACUAACCAGUGCUGGAAACAUUCGAAAUUUUUUGCGACGUUCGUUUCGCUUCCAUGGUCAGCAGUCAAAUGAUUUCUUUACACUCAUUCGCUACCUCAUCUUUCACACACAGGAUGAGCGGUGUGAUGGACAUCGAGAAACAUAUGAUCAGUGGUACGAAUGUCGUCUGACACGAUGACAUUUCCAAAUAUUUCAGAAAUGUCCAUCGAUCAUAAACAACAAGAAUAGUUUGCUUGUUAUAUCUAAUGUGACACAGCAGCUCUUAUUUUGGAAAAUGAAAACGAAAAUGAGAAUGAAAAUGAAAACAAACAUAAUCGUAUCGCUUUCUGGUGACGCCAUCGUGGUCAGCUGCAUUCAAUUGACAUUUCUCAUUCGUACGUUCAUUUGAUCGCUCGUGUUGUGAAUGCUGAAGGCAAAUGCUGUCGAAUGAUAACGUGUCGACUACCGUGAUUGCUAACAACAUUGGUACUAACGACCAAAAUGUUGACAGUUGUCACUUUGCAAAACGUAGGGUGUAUGUAUUCAAAUGAAAAACACCAAGCGAAGUGCACAUAGGACAUAAUUGAAAUUUAUUCAGAAAAAUCAGAAAAAGGUUGUAGGAUUAGUUUUUUAGGCUCAACAUUUUGAUUAAAAGUUUGUCGAGCAUAUGCAAAGCAAAUCUCGAUUUGUUUAUGUUUGCGACAUACGUCGUUUUGAAAAUUUAUGCUUGAAACAACUUAAUAUUGACAGUCACUGGCUCUGCCUCCCAUAUGUAUUGGGCUUUUCAAUGAUGAUGGGUUCGGCUUCCACGUGAUUCCCAAUCAUCUGUGUAUUGCGUAGAGACGAUAGAAACACUGGAGCAGCUCAAGUGUUCCUGCUUCAAUUUGCGGUGAUUGUUAUAGUUACUGCAUACACACACACACGAUACCUCCUGGCACAAACGUAUUGUGUACAGUAGUCACAAAUUUCUAGAUUUCAUUUUUAACAUUGACCAGUUCGAGAUCAAAACAUGAUUUUCAGCUCAAUGCAUAUUUAAUUGAUUCAAUUACGAUGGAAUGUCCAACACGUCACAGGCUGCUGCUGAAAUUGCGUGGCAUCUGUCAUGACGUCCGCAGAGACAAUCCUCAUAAGAAAUGGAAAUGUGUCCGAAUAGCUGAGGCAGCGUAUCAAGACAAGCAAUAUAAAUAGAAAAAAAAACGCAUAAACGUGAAUUAUGCAGCAAUUAAAAAGUCAUACAAUAAGCUACACCAGCGCAGUAGCAGCGGACCGACAUCUAAGCUCCUAGUGAUAGGUGUCAUUUGUAAUUGCCAGUCACAUAUUUAGCUACAAUUACACUAUCAUUAAACAUUCCGGUGUGGUGUGCGGUGCGCUCUAUGUUCGCCAUUCGUACCGAGCUUUCAUUUGCGACUGUCAUGAUCGGUAUGAAUACUUUCACUAUGAAAACGGGCAUCGGGCAAGCUAUCGAAAAACGUAAAACUUUCAAUUAGUUUGACGGCGUUGGAGCCAUGGCGAAUUCUAUUCGGGAGGAUAAUACGUUUCCGUUUAAGACUUCGACGGUAACCAAUGAUGGAAAUUCAAAACUGAAACGAAAAUUGCAUCAGCAUGAUUCACAACUGCGAUGACGGUUGUGAAUGGUGCAGUUAACGAGCAGCUGAUGCAGUUGCAAGUGUAGGUGUGAUGUGCAUGUGCUCUUUGUCUCUGUCCUGCGUUUGACGUUGGUCGUUCAUGGUGUAUACGCGAGGAUUAUUGCGAAAUAGAGCUGCGGUUAGAAAAACAUUUAGUGAAACUGUAAACUGAUUUAUAACUGUAUUAAAAAUUGUUUACUGUGUGAGAAGAAAUGAACGACAAACAAUAACAGUUUUUAUAGCACUAUUUGUCUACCUACAAAAAUUUUGUGCCAAUUUUGAGACUUUCAAAUAAGGUCAAAAUCAUAUGAUGGCCUCAGAUUGUUAGUUCUGAGGGAAUUCGAUGUGAAUAUUGUUCAUCACAUUUCAAAUCCUAUUUCUCAGAAUUCAAAUCAAUCAAUGAGAUUUCUUGCUCGUUGAGUGACGAGUUGCUAUAACUACACGUUAAUGAUCGAUUCUAAUCCGAAAACUGACAAAAAUGUGGAAACAUUUAAAUACUUGGACCAUUUCCUUGUAUCUUUUUGAAGGCCAACUAGAUUUUUAUUACCGUGCAUUGGCCCAAGGCUUGGCCUUUUUGAUCCAUUGAAAAUCUUGUUUAUAACGGUACUUACAACAUCAACCGUACAAUGCAGCGCGAUGUUACGGUUACGGUUCUUCUUCGACUCUCGUGUGGUACAAGCUGGGUAAUCUAGGCGACUAUUUUGGCAAUAAAUUCCAUAAAUUACACUCCUUGCUUGCUUACACGUAUUAAUAAACGAAAGAAAUUUCCAAAUUCACUAUUCACUUGCUCAAAUGCGAUUUUUGUUUUGGUUUUGUUUUUGCAAUCUUUUUCUCGCGGUUUGCUUCCGUCCUCCACUCUCGCCAAACUGUCACUUGCGGAGGGUUCGGCUAUUAUGCCGACAACCUACCACUACUGCCCAGCGGUGUGAACAAUCCCCUGCCCGUAACAUCCGGUAUUUCUUCCGGAAGUUCCGGAUUUACCUGCCUCUAUCUCCAACACCGCUAGA